ensembl:misc_RNA Y_RNA Y RNA
GGCUGGUCCGAUUGCAGUGGAAUUUAUACUUAAUGAUCACAGUCAGUUACAGAUUUCUUUGUUCUUUCUCCACUCCCACUGCUUCACUUGACUAGUCUUUU